rnacentral:rRNA from 1 species
GACGAACGCUGGCUGCGUGCUUAACACAUGCAAGUCGAACGCUGAAGCCUGGUGCUUGCACCGGGUGGAUGAGUGGCGAACGGGUGAGUAACACGUGAGUAACCUGCCCCUGACUUCGGGAUAAGCCCGGGAAACUGGGUCUAAUACCGGAUACGACUGCCGGACGCAUGUCUGGUGGUGGAAAGUUUUUUCGGUUGGGGAUGGGCUCGCGGCCUAUCAGUUUGUUGGUGAGGUAAUGGCUCACCAAGACGACGACGGGUAGCCGGCCUGAGAGGGCGACCGGCCACACUGGGACUGAGACACGGCCCAGACUCCUACGGGAGGCAGCAGUGGGGAAUAUUGCACAAUGGGGGAAACCCUGAUGCAGCGACGCAGCGUGCGGGAUGACGGCCUUCGGGUUGUAAACCGCUUUCAGCAGGGAAGAAGCGCAAGUGACGGUACCUGC